CGAGAAAAAGACCAAAGAAAAGGAAGAUGCAAUACCACAAAUGACCACUAAAUGUCAAGAAAUCUCCACACUGCAUGAAGCCAAUUAAAAAGGCUGUCUUCUAUUGGCAAAUUCUCUGGUCCUUGAAGGCUUUUUGAACCAUUUCUGACCAAUAAGGAUACAUAUCCCAUGCCACAGGACCCGCCUACACAAGAUGAGGACCAGCACCACCACCACAAGAGUCCCAGAGAACAUAGUCCAACCUACAACAUGUACAACAGUUAUUCACUACAAAGAAUCGUAAUACUCAUUCAGUCGCAGUAUGCAUCAAACAAUGUAGGUUGUGUGAUGUGUCAUCUGAUCAAUCCUAAAGGCCAGGCGAAAAGACAGGAGCCUUCCCAGAUGAGCAGAGGCUGUCUCAGCUGCAUGAGACGUCCAA